rnacentral:rRNA from 1 species
ACGGGUGAGUAAUGCCUAGGAAUCUGCCUGGUAGUGGGGGACAACGUUUCGAAAGGAACGCUAAUACCGCAUACGUCCUACGGGAGAAAGCAGGGGACCUUCGGGCCUUGCGCUAUCAGAUGAGCCUAGGUCGGAUUAGCUAGUUGGUGGGGUAAUGGCUCACCAAGGCGACGAUCCGUAACUGGUCUGAGAGGAUGAUCAGUCACACUGGAACUGAGACACGGUCCAGACUCCUACGGGAGGCAGCAGUGGGGAAUAUUGGACAAUGGGCGAAAGCCUGAUCCAGCCAUGCCGCGUGUGUGAAGAAGGUCUUCGGAUUGUAAAGCACUUUAAGUUGGGAGGAAGGGCAGUAAGCGAAUACCUUGCUGUUUUGACGUUACCGACAGAAUAAGCACCGGCUAACUCUGUGCCAGCAGCCGCGGUAAUACAGAGGGUGCAAGCGUUAAUCGGAAUUACUGGGCGUAAAGCGCGCGUAGGUGGUUUGUUAAGUUGGAUGUGAAAGCCCCGGGCUCAACCUGGGAACUGCAUCCAAAACUGGCAAGCUAGAGUACGGUAGAGGGUGGUGGAAUUUCCCUGUGUAGCGGUG